GUCUGUUACAGUGAACACAGACAAUGGUGCUCCUAUCUAUUAUUCCACUCUUUGCCACUCUUUGUGCCACGUAUGGAAAUGAAAUUAGACCGACCAAAACUGAAGAGUUUGCUGUCGAUGGUUUAAGUGUUACAUUAUCCUGCAGUUAUUCCUCUGCACUGACUUUAUUCUGGUACCGUCAGUACCCACAAUCAGCACCUGAAUUACUUGUAAGCAUCGUAUAUGGAACAAAAGAAGAUUCAAAGUCUGAUGUAAAUCCCAGAUUCUCUGCAAAACACAACAAAGAAAAGCAAAAUCAUGUGGAUCUGGAGAUCUCCUCUGCUGAAGUGUCAGACUCUGCUGUGUAUUACUGUGCUCUGCAGCCCACAGUCACAGGAAACACUAGAACACUGUUCAAAAACCUGACACAUGCGACGAGGCAAAAUUAUGAACAUUAA